rnacentral:rRNA from 1 species
CGGGUGAGUAAUGUAUGGGGAUCUGCCUGAUGGCGGGGGAUAACUACUGGAAACGGUAGCUAAUACCGCAUAACAUCGCAAGACCAAAGAGGGGGACCUUAGGGCCUCUUGCCAUCGGAUGUGCCCAGAUGGGAUUAGCUAGUAGGUGGGGUAACGGCUCACCUAGGCGACGAUCCCUAGCUGGUCUGAGAGGAUGACCAGCCACACUGGAACUGAGACACGGUCCAG